CAUUUCUAGAGAUAGAAAGUUACUUCGGUACAUCGGUGACAGGUGGUGCAUGGUUGUCGUCAGCUCGUGUCGUGAGAUGUUGGGUUAAGUCCCGCAACGAGCCGCAACCCCUAUUGUUAGUUGCCAUCAUUCAGUUGGGCACUCUAGCGAGACUGCCGGUAAUAAACCGGGAGGAAGGUGGGGAUGACGUCAAGUCCUCAUGGCCCUUAUAGGUAGGGCUACACACGUCAUACAAUGGAUGGUACAAAGGGUCGCCAACCCGCGAGGGGGAGCCAAUCCCAUAAACCAUUCGUAGUCCGGAUCGCAGUCUGCAACUCGACUGCGUGAAGUCGGAAUCGCUAGUAAUCGUGGAUCAGAAUGUCACGGUGAAUACGUUCCCGGGUCUU
rnacentral:rRNA from 1 species